rnacentral:lncRNA from 1 species
CACCCCAUAGCUGCUUUAUAUUUUUAUUAACAACCAAUCCCAAUUUAAAGGAAGUUAAGCCAUAACUUAUAUCAAAUUAAUGAAAACUAAUCCUAAUGUGCUUUAACACAGACCCUUCCCCUUACAAAUAGCCUCAGAAUCAACUAUGACAUUCAAAAGUAUCAUCUAAACGUUACAAGAAAUCUAUUGAUACCUAUAUUGCCCAUA